rnacentral:rRNA from 1 species
GAACGCUAGCGACAGGCUUAACACAUGCAAGUCGAGGGGCAGCGGGGGUAGCGAUACCCGCCGGCGACCGGCGCACGGGUGAGUAACGCGUAUGCAACUUGCCUAUCAGAGGGGGAUAACCCGGCGAAAGUCGGACUAAUACCGCAUGAAGCAGGGGCCCCGCAUGGGGAUAUUUGCUAAAGAUUCAUCGCUGAUAGAUAGGCAUGCGUUCCAUUAGGCAGUUGGCGGGGUAACGGCCCACCAAACCGACGAUGGAUAGGGGUUCUGAGAGGAAGGUCCCCCACAUUGGUACUGAGACACGGACCAAACUCCUACGGGAGGCAGCAGUGAGGAAUAUUGGUCAAUGGCCGAGAGGCUGAACCAGCCAAGUCGCGUGAGGGAUGAAGGUUCUAUGGAUCGUAAACCUCUUUUAUAAGGGAAUAAAGUGCGGGACGUGUCCCGUUUUGUAUGUACCUUAUGAAUAAGGAUCGGCUAACUCCGUGCCAGCAGCCGCGGUAAUACGGAGGAUCCGAGCGUUAUCCGGAUUUAUUGGGUUUAAAGGGUGCGUAGGCGGCCUUUUAAGUCAGCGGUGAAAGUCUGUGGCUCAACCAUAGAAUUGCCGUUGAAACUGGGGGGCUUGAGUAUGUUUGAGGCAGGCGGAAUGCGUGGUGUAGCGGUGAAAUGCAUAGAUAUCACGCAGAACCCCGAUUGCGAAGGCAGCCUGCCAAGCCAUUACUGACGCUGAUGCACGAAAGCGUGGGGAUCAAACAGGAUUAGAUACCCUGGUAGUCCACGCAGUAAACGAUGAUCACUAGCUGUUUGCGAUACACUGUAAGCGGCACAGCGAAAGCGUUAAGUGAUCCACCUGGGGAGUACGCCGGCAACGGUGAAACUCAAAGGAAUUGACGGGGGCCCGCACAAGCGGAGGAACAUGUGGUUUAAUUCGAUGAUACGCGAGGAACCUUACCCGGGUUUGAACGCAUUCGGACCGAGGUGGAAACACCUUUUCUAGCAAUAGCCGUUUGCGAGGUGCUGCAUGGUUGUCGUCAGCUCGUGCCGUGAGGUGUCGGCUUAAGUGCCAUAACGAGCGCAACCCUUGCCACUAGUUACUAACAGGUAAAGCUGAGGACUCUGGUGGGACUGCCAGCGUAAGCUGCGAGGAAGGCGGGGAUGACGUCAAAUCAGCACGGCCCUUACAUCCGGGGCGACACACGUGUUACAAUGGCGUGGACAAAGGGAGGCCACCUGGCGACAGGGAGCGAAUCCCCAAACCACGUCUCAGUUCGGAUCGGAGUCUGCAACCCGACUCCGUGAAGCUGGAUUCGCUAGUAAUCGCGCAUCAGCCAUGGCGCGGUGAAUACGUUCCCGGGCCUUGUACACACCGCCCGUCAAGCCAUGGGAGCCGGGGGUACCUGAAGUCCGUAACCGAAAGGAUCGGCCUAGGGUAAAACUGGUGACUGGGGCUA